GUAAGUAUAGUUAAAAUAAAAUAACAUUAGUUUGUCAAAUUAAUAUAGAAGAGUAAAACUUCUACUUACA
rnacentral:tRNA from 1 species